rnacentral:tRNA from 1 species
GAGAGGGUGGCCCAGUGGUUAAGGGCACUUGUUGUUUCAGAGGACCUGGGUUUGGUUCCCAGCACUUACG